AUUGAACGCUGGCGGCAUGCCUUACACAUGCAAGUCGAACGGCAGCACGGGAGCAAUCCUGGUGGCGAGUGGCGAACGGGUGAGUAAUAUAUCGGAACGUGCCCAGUCGCGGGGAUAACGUAGCGAAAGCUACGCUAAUACCGCAUACGAUCUAUGGAUGAAAGCGGGGGAUCGCAAGACCUCGCGCGAUUGGAGCGGCCGAUAUCAGAUUAGGUAGUUGGUGAGGUAAAGGCUCACCAAGCCGACGAUCUGUAGCUGGUCUGAGAGGACGACCAGCCACACUGGGACUGAGACACGGCCCAGACUCCUACGGGAGGCAGCAGUGGGGAAUUUUUGGACAAUGGGGGCAACCCUGAUCCAGCAAUGCCGCGUGAGUGAAGAAGG
rnacentral:rRNA from 1 species